rnacentral:rRNA from 1 species
CAGUAGCCGCGGUAACACGUAGGGUGCGAGCGUUAAUCGGAAUUACUGGGCGUAAAGCGUGCGCAGGCGGUUUUGUAAGACAGGCGUGAAAUCCCCGGGCCCAACCUGGGAAUGGCGCUUGUGACUGCAAAGCUAGAGUGCGGCAGAGGGGGAUGGAAUUCCGCGUGUAGCAGUGAAAUGCGUAGAUAUGCGGAGGAACACCGAUGGCGAAGGCAAUCCCCUGGGCCUGCACUGACGCUCAUGCACGAAAGCGUGGGGAGCAAACAGGAUUAGAGACCCCCGUAGUCCCUGUCUCUUAUAC